UACAGAGGGUGCGAGCGUUAAUCGGAAUUACUGGGCGUAAAGCGUGCGCAGACGGUCACGUAAGUCGGGUGUGAAAGCCCCGGGCUCGACCUGGGAAUUGCAUUCGAGACUGCGUGGCUAGGGUGCGGAAGAGGGAAGCGGAAUUUCCGGUGUAGCGGUGAAAUGCGUAGAUAUCGGAAGGAACACCAGUGGCGAAAGCGGCUUCCUGGUCCAGCACCGACGUUCAGGCACGAAAGCGUGGGGAGCAAACAGG
rnacentral:rRNA from 1 species